CACGUUCUCCUCCCCAAUCCAUCUUCGAGCUUGCGCCCCUCCUCGGUCCCUUCCUUGCACACAGAGCCGCCGCUGCUCCAGCUCGCAAUCGUCCCACCCGGUCUGGCCGUGGGGAGAGGGCUAGCCUAGGGAAACAACGACAACAACCGCGACCUCCCUGGCAGGUCCAUCCUCACUCCCAGGCGGUAUUAGGUGUUUGACGAAUUGUGUACAUGGGCUAUUCUAUGGUUAUGGUGCUCCAGGAUAUGAGUAUGAAACAACGGAGAUGAUGCUGAUCCCUAGAGCCCUAUUAUGCUUUUGAAUUUCCUUUCGCGCUUACUGUGGAUGUCACAAAUCAGUUGGAUGUAUUGGUUUUCUCUUCUAUUUUGUUAGUCCUUCUCUUCACUAAUUGCCAGGUCUGCAAGUUUGCUAGGUUUAGGAUGCACACCAAAACAACUCACUUGGGUUGCUAAGUUAUAUUUUCUGUCCAUUCCAUUUUCUCCUGAUGCUUUAUGGGGUUAAACAUGGAUUUUUGGUUCCUUUUAAUUUACAAGAGUCCUCACCUCGACCAUGAUGCACCCAUCAACCAGCAGUCUGACCGCACCAUCAAUAACAUUACAGUGGUGUAGCGAUGGGAGAUGAUAGCCAACACCAGAUUUAUCAGUGAUGGGUGGCACGGUGGCAUGGUCCAUCUCUCCCACCAACAUUCGACAUGGAGCCAUGUUUGUCCCACCUUUGGGUUUGACAUAUCAAAACAUCACCUGAGCCUGUUUGGUAUUGUUGCCUCUGUAGAGAUGGGUCGUUUGGAGGUCAAUAUAGAAAUGCUAGGGAGGAUGCAGUGGCAUCAGCGAUGGCAUGGGGAGAG